AAGAGUUUAGGAGGCGCCAAGGAGAAACCAAGAAGAAGGUAAAAGUAUCAGCCAAGGACAUCAACCGACGGAAGUAGAAGACUAAGUCCAAGAAUUGAGGCAUUGAUCGAUAUCUGCAAUGCACAUGGGAAGGCAUGGAUGGACCAUAAUGUAUGGUUGACUGUGCAAUCAAACGAUAGGGUUCCUCCACACAGGAGUCCAUAAGAAAUAUGAGGACUCAUCGACCACCAACUAUUACAAUACCACACCCGAAUUUCCCCAUUUGAACCCAUUUUUAGUUUAAUCGAUCCAAUUUUUUAUCAGGGGUCGACCCUACUCGGUUACUGUUCAUUUAUACGCUAAUGUAAUGCACAUUAAACCUUCAGUUUUGUUUUAACCAUUAACCUAGAGGAUUCAAAGACUAUAUCUUGAUUGAAGAUUCUUUUCUUUCCUUGUUGGGUUUAUGAAACUUCAUAUUUCAUCGUUAUUUCUGAUUAAAAUCAUGUGUGAGUAGAUUUCCCCUAUGGUUC